UGAGCGCCAUGGCACUGAUGUCUUUUUUCUUCCUUUGGUACAGGUGACACCGAAGCCCAGGGGAGGAUCAGGCAGGCAGAAUGAGUGACUGGAACAAGAUCUUUACCCAAAACGCACUUGUGCCCCCGCAUCCGCAGAGAGCCCGGCAGCUUUGGAAGGAAUCCACAGCAUUUCAGUGUGUCCUGAAGUGGCUUGAUGGGCCGCUACCUAAGCAGGGCACACUGGAGGUGCUGUCGGAGGUCGAGUGCCAUCUGCGGAUGUCUCUGUUUGACAUCACCUACCGACACUUCUUUGGGAGGACGUGGAAAAGCACCGUGAAGCUGAUCAAGCAGCUCUCUCGGCAGCCGCCCAGGAUCGUCUUCGGAGAGCCCGUCUACUUUCACAUGUCCUUAAACCACCCGAACAUCGUGGCUGUGGUCGAAGUGGUCACCGAAGGCAAGGAGCGGGGCGGGGCCCUCCAGGCCCUGUCCUGCGGGUUUGGGAUCCUUCAGAUCUUCAGCAGCAGGCCAGACUCUUCGACCUCUCCAUCCCAGGACAAACGGUUGAAGCUGUAUCACGGAACCCCCAGAGCCCUCCUGCACCCGCUUCUCCAGGACCCCAUAGAACGUAAGCAACCACCCUGGCCGUGGCCACAGCCUUGAGUAUCCCGUGUUGUAUCGAUGGCAUCAGUGCUGACCACCGUCAGCCCUGCUCGGUCA
rnacentral:lncRNA from 1 species